GCCGGUGUAGUGCAGUGGUCAGCACGUUUCGUUGGGGGCAAACCAGAACGCGGUUUAGAUAAGAGCUGAAAGGCUUGGGUCUAUUCUGUGAAUAUGGCAGCUGACGACCGAAGAAACCUCAGUUCAAAUCCGAGCACCGGCA